rnacentral:lncRNA from 1 species
GAGGCCCCAAUCUGCACAAUUAACCUCUUCAGCCCAAACCUUCACUAACCAUGGCGAAUUGCUUUUUUUACUCAACAGAGACGAUGACCGAUAAAGAAUUCAAUUAAUCACUCCAUUACGAGUUUAUUAAUCCUCUUUAUUUGCCUCUCCACACCCUCUUCAGCCGGCAAUUUACCUACCUCUUAUCAGUUAUCACCCUUCAAAAUUCCCCAAUUUCUGAUCGAAUUUGUUCGAUUCGUUACGUUUCAGUGGUGGGUUUUGAUUCUUUCGUUGAUCUGAUUGGUGACAAAUCUUGAUACUUACAGAUGAGGUUCUUGAAGCUCCCAUGAUCUAUGGGUGCAAUGGACAUCACCUGUGGAUCCACAACCAUUUCAUCGUGCUUGCAAGUUUUCGAUGUACUCAUAUACACGGUUUGAAACUUGAUUUUCUAGAAUCCCCAUGUAGCAAAUACUAACGUAUCUUAUAUAUCCUUCC